rnacentral:rRNA from 1 species
CAGUAGCCGCGGUAACACGUAGGUGGCAAGCGUUGUCCGGAAUUAUUGGGCGUAAAGGGCUCGCAGGCGGUUUCUUAAGUCUGAUGUGAAAGCCCCCGGCUCAACCGGGGAGGGUCAUUGGAAACUGGGAAACUUGAGUGCAGAAGAGGAGAGUGGAAUUCCACGUGUAGCGGUGAAAUGCGUAGAGAUGUGGAGGAACACCAGUGGCGAAGGCGACUCUCUGGUCUGUAACUGACGCCGAGGAGCGAAAGCGUGGGGAGCGAACAGGAUUAGAUACCCGUGUAGUCCCUGUCUCUUAUAC